CCCACACCCACUGGCCAGACACCCCACAGUGAGGGGGCUCAGAAGACAAACUGGGGGCUUGGCUGGGGACUGAGCUGACUGCUGCCCACGCCCCAGGCUCUGGUCCUAGGGGUCCUUUUCAGUCUAGAGGGUGAGGCAGGAGGCCCAGGUUGGGGCAGUUCCAUGCGAGUCCCUUCCUGUGGCCCCACAGAUUCGUCCAGUCCAGCCAGUUGGCCAAUCAUAUUCGCCACCACGACAACAUCCGCCCACACAAGUGCAGCGUGUGCAGCAAGGCCUUCGUGAACGUGGGGGACCUGUCCAAGCACAUCAUCAUUCACACUGAGCUUCCAGAGGUGCCAGUGUCACCAGAGGCACCCAUGCAGCCACCCCAGAGCACCUCCUGCUGUAAAAGACAGGGUUGCUGGGCAAACGAGUCAUUGAGGGCCUCCCACCCCAUCCCUGCGGCCCCUUCCCACAAAGGCAAGAGA
rnacentral:sRNA from 1 species